ACACUGUACGAGUUUGAUCCUGGCUCAGAACGAACGCUGGCGGCAGGCCUAACACAUGCAAGUCGAGCGAACCCUUCGGGGUUAGCGGCGGACGGGUUAGUAACGCGUGGGAAUAUACCCUUUGGUACGGAAUAGCCUCGGGAAACUGAGAGUAAUACCGUAUGUGCCCUUCGGGGGAAAGAUUUAUCGCCAAAGGAUUAGCCCGCGUUGGAUUAGAUAGUUGGUGGGGUAAUGGCCUACCAAGUCUACGAUCCAUAGCUGGUUUGAGAGGAUGAUCAGCAACACUGGGACUGAGACACGGCCCAGACUCCUACGGGAGGCAGCAGUGGGGAAUCUUAGACAAUGGGCGCAAGCCUGAUCUAGCCAUGCCGCGUGAUCGAUGAAGGCCUUAGGGUUGUAAAGAUCUUUCAGGUGGGAAGAUAAUGACUGUACCACCAGAAGAAGCCCCGGCUAACUCCGUG
rnacentral:rRNA from 1 species